AUUGAACGCUGGCGGCAUGCCUUACACAUGCAAGUCGAACGGCAGCACGGGAGCAAUCCUGGUGGCGAGUGGCGAACGGGUGAGUAAUAUAUCGGAACGUGCCCAGUGAUGGGGGAUAGCCCGGCGAAAGCCGGAUUAAUACCGCAUACGACCUACGGGUGAAAGCAGGGGAUCGCAAGACCUUGCGUCAUUGGAGCGGCCGAUAUCAGAUUAGCUUGNGGUGGGGUAAAGCCUACCAAGGCGACGAUCUGUAGCUGGUCUGAGAGGGACGACCAGCCACACUGGGACUGAGACACGGCCCAGACUCCUAC
rnacentral:rRNA from 1 species